AGAGUUUGAUUCUGGCUCAGGAUGAACGCUAGCGACAGGCUUAACACAUGCAAGUCGAGGGGCAGCAUAAAAGUAGCAAUACUUUGGUGGCGACCGGCGCACGGGUGAGUAACGCGUAUGCAACCUACCUAUCAGAGGGGAAUAACCCGGCGAAAGUCGGACUAAUACCGCAUAAAACAGGGGCACCGCAUGGUGAUAUUUGUUAAAGAAAUUCGCUGAUAGAUGGGCAUGCGUUCCAUUAGGUAGUUGGUGAGGUAACGGCUCACCAAGCCGACGAUGGAUAGGGGAACUGAGAGGUUGGUCCCCCACACUGGUACUGAGACACGGACCAGACUCCUACGGGAGGCAGCAGUGAGGAAUAUUGGUCAAUGGGCGGGAGCCUGAACCAGCCAAGUCGCGUGAAAGGAAGAAGGAUCUAUGGUUCGUAAACUUCUUUUGCAGGGGAAUAAAGUGCAGGACGUGUCCUGUUUUGUAUGUACCCUGAGAAUAAGGAUCGGCUAACUCCGUGCCAGCCGCAGC
rnacentral:rRNA from 1 species